UACAGAGGGUGCGAGCGUUGUUCGGAAUUAUUGGGCGUAAAGGGUGCGUAGGCGGCGCGGUAAGUCGGGUGUGAAAUCUCGGAGCUUAACUCCGAAACUGCAUUCGAUACUGCCGUGCUUGAGGACUGGAGAGGAGACUGGAAUUUACGGUGUAGCGGUGAAAUGCGUAGAUAUCGUAAGGAAGACCAGUGGCGAAGGCGGGUCUCUGGACAGUUCCUGACGCUGAGGCACGAAGGCCAGGGGGGCAAACGGG
rnacentral:rRNA from 1 species